CUCCCCCAGCUCCUCCUCGCCCUCUGCGCGCGGGUCGUCGGGGUCCUCCAGAAAAUAAAAAGAUGCUGUGGCCAUCAUCCCAGAAUGCACCCCAUGGACCAAGAUGAUGAAUUCGCUGCAAGCAGCACCAUGUGACAACCCUGCUGAGAGCCAUGCAAAUACUACAUCUGAGUGACUCCUCUCAUCUACAGCAGCCCUUGGACCUGGGAAGAUCUCCAGACCUGAUGCACCGCCUGUCGAUGAGACCCAGGAGCAAACAGCCCCAAGGACAAUCACAGCCCACACUGAUGCAGCUGCCAUUUCCAAACAGAGAAGGGGGAGACGCAGGGGACCAUAACGCUGAUUACGCCCAAAGCCGGCUGUGAAGAGCUAACCCCACAGCUUUGAGAAGUGAGUCCGGCCGAAGCCUACGAGCCGAGGUCAGAGGAACUCGCACCCAAAUUCCGUUCCCACAACUAAAACCUUCUGACUAGAAGGACGAUGUUCUAAUUACAAUGAUAUAUUUUAUCUAUUCUGUUCCUAAUUCGAGAAUGCUUUGUCUUGUCCUUUGUGAGCCUUGUUUACAUUACUUUCCAUAGCAAUCACUCAUAGCUCACCUUUACCCCAAUUGACUGCCACUAAAACUCAGUGCCUGGGACUGUCCCUCGCCUUUGUCGGUUGCAGCGGCAUUGGUCGUCCUGGCCCCGCUUUUUCUCCUG